CUCCUCUCUCCGGUCCGUGCCUCCAAGAUGACAAAGAAAAGAAGGAACAACGGUCGUGCCAAAAAGGGCCGCGGCCACGUGCAGCCUAUUCGCUGCACUAACUGUGCCCGAUGCGUGCCCAAGGACAAGGCCAUUAAGAAAUUCGUCAUUCGAAACAUAGUGGAGGCCGCAGCAGUCAGGGACAUUUCUGAAGCGAGCGUCUUCGAUGGUAAGUGGGUCACCGGCGCGAACUGUGUGAGGAUCCCAGUAUCUUAAAGCCUUCGCCCAACUUCGCCCUUCUGCAGGCUCUGUUCUUUGGAGCCUCUCAGGCAAUUUCCACGUAUUUAAGGUUGUUACUGGUAGAGAAUUCUCUUGUUUGCUGUUUUGAUUCUUUUCUGGGCAGAGGGUGACUUUGUGAUAGAGUGCACAGCCUUUACUCUGAGGUAAAGGUUUGCCUGUUUCGGUUACGAGAUUGCAAAAACUAGAAACUUGGUAAAUUUGACAAUUCUUGUGCUAUUGAUUAUUUGAGUACUUGUGAAAAUAUACAGGUGAGGAAGAAUGUCUUCAACGUUUCGAGAAUGGAGGCCGUCUAGUUUGGUGUGCAAGGAUGAUGUUUGGAGCAAUAAGAACAUCGCUUUUUUUCCUUUUAUAGAAAGAGCAAGGUUCAGGGUAGGCAUUAGGGCGGGUGUAGGUGUAGAAGGAACUGGAUUAUUGGUUUAUUGCAUUUAGAAUGCCAGUCUGGUCCUUGCGGUGUCAAGAUGAACUCACGUGGGAUGUUAAUUCACUUGUAAAACUGAGGGUUAUACAUAUGUGCUCAGGUAUUGGGCUGAACAGGUGCUUUGGGGGUGCUUUUAUGUGCCCGACAGGCAUUUAAAUAGGUUUAGUUUUAAUUGACGUAAACAUGUAAGGUGCUCUUCAUUCAUGUAACAAAAAAGCAAGGUAGGUAUAUAAUACCAGUAUAACUCUAUUUUCUAUUCCUUAGCCUAUGUGCUUCCCAAGCUGUAUGUGAAGCUACAUUACUGUGUGAGUUGUGCAAUUCACAGCAAAGUAGUCAGGAAUCGAUCUCGUGAAGCCCGCAAGGACCGAACACCCCCACCCCGAUUUAGACCUGCGGGUGCUGCCCCACGUCCCCCACCAAAGCCCAUGUAAGGAGCUGAGUUCUUAAAGACUGAAGACAGGCUAUUCUCUGGAGAAAAAUAAAAUGGAAAUUGUACUUAA
rnacentral:sRNA from 1 species